AGCUUUGCGCAGUGGCAGUAUCGUAGCCAAUGAGGUUUAUCCGAGGCGCGAUUAUUGCUAAUUGAAAACUUUUCCCAGAAACCAGGGACCUCUAUAGAAGGUCCCAGAGGCCUGGUCCUCUGUGCCAGCUCCCUGUCUGUAGA